GCUGGGGUGUUCCUAUCGCUAGGAGCUGAGAUUUUACCCAUUGAACCUGAACCAGGUCAUGCUGGCGGAGGGAGAUCGAGAU
rnacentral:ncRNA from 1 species